rnacentral:rRNA from 1 species
UAGCUAGUAGGUGGGGUAACGGCUCACCUAGGCGACGAUCCCUAGCUGGUCUGAGAGGAUGACCAGCCACACUGGAACUGAGACACGGUCCAGACUCCUACGGGAGGCAGCAGUGGGGAAUAUUGCACAAUGGGCGCAAGCCUGAUGCAGCCAUGCCGCGUGUAUGAAGAAGGCCUUCGGGUUGUAAAGUACUUUCAGCGGGGAGGAAGGGAGUAAAGUUAAUACCUUUGCUCAUUGACGUUACCCGCAGAAGAAGCACCGGCUAACUCCGUGCCAGCAGCCGCGGUAAUACGGAGGGUGCAAGCGUUAAUCGGAAUUACUGGGCGUAAAGCGCACGCAGGCGGUUUGUUAAGUCAGAUGUGAAAUCCCCGGGCUCAACCUGGGAACUGCAUCUGAUACUGGCAAGC